rnacentral:rRNA from 1 species
GACGAACGCUGGCGGCGUGCUUAACACAUGCAAGUCGAACGGAAAGGCCCUGCUUUUGUGGGGUGCUCGAGUGGCGAACGGGUGAGUAACACGUGAGUAACCUGCCCUUGACUUUGGGAUAACUUCAUGAAACUGGGGCUAAUACCGGAUAGGAGCUCCUGCUGCCUGGUGGGGGUUGGAAAGUUUCGGCGGGUGUGGAUGGACUCGCGGCUUAUCAGCUUGUUGGUGUGGUAGUGGCUUACCAAGGCUUUCACGGGUAGCCGGCCUGAGAGGGUGACCGACCACAGUGCGACUGAGAUACGGGCCAGACUCCUACGGGAGGCAGCAGUGGGGAAUAUUGCACAAUGGGCGGAAGCCUGAUGCAGCAACGCCGCGUGCGGGAUUACGGCCUUCGGGUUGUAGGCCGCUUUGGCCUGUGACGAAGCGUGAGUGACGGUAAUGGGUAAAGAAGCACCGGCUAACUACGUG